rnacentral:tRNA from 1 species
GCCCCCAUCGUCUAGUGGCCUAGGACACCGCCCUUUCAAGGCGGCGGCACGGGUUCGAAUCCCGUUGGGGGCACCA